rnacentral:rRNA from 1 species
UACGUAGGGUGCAAGCGUUAAUCGGAAUUACUGGGCGUAAAGGGUGCGUAGGCGGUUCGUUAAGUCUGUCGUGAAAUCCCCGGGCUCAACCUGGGAAUGGCGAUGGAUACUGGCGAGCUAGAGUGUAUCAGAGGAUGGUGGAAUUCCCGGUGUAGCGGUGAAAUGCGUAGAGAUCGGGAGGAACAUCAGUGGCGAAGGCGGCCAUCUGGGACAACACUGACGCUGAAGCACGAAAGCGUGGGGAGCAAACAGG